rnacentral:rRNA from 1 species
GAUGAACGCUGGCGGCGUGCUUAACACAUGCAAGUCGAACGAGAAGUGAAGACGGAAACCUUCGGGCGGAAGGCUUUAUUUCGAGUGGCGGACGGGUGAGUAACGCGUGGGUAACCUGCCUCAUACAGGGGGAUAACAGUUGGAAACGACUGUUAAUACCGCAUAAGACCACAGCACCGCAUGGUGCGGGGGUAAAAACUCCGGUGGUAUGAGAUGGACCCGCGUUCCAUUAGCCAGUUGGCGGGGUAACGGCCCACCAAAGCGACGAUCGAUAGCCGAUCUGAGAGGAUGACCGGCCACAUUGGGACUGAGACACGGCCCAAACUCCUACGGGAGGCAGCAGUGGGGAAUAUUGCACAAUGGGGGAAACCCUGAUGCAGCGACGCCGCGUGAGUGAAGAAGUAUUUCGGUAUGUAAAGCUCUAUCAGCAGGGAAGAAAAUGACGGUACCUGAGUAAGAAGCCCCGGCUAACUACGUG